UACGUAGGGUGCAAGCGUUGUCCGGAAUUAUUGGGCGUAAAGAGCUCGUAGGCGGUCUGUCGCGUCGGCUGUGAAAACCUGGGGCUCAACCCCGGGCUUGCAGCCGAUACGGGCAGACUAGAAUUCGGUAGGGGAGACUGGAAUUCCUGGUGUAGCGGUGAAAUGCGCAGAUAUCAGGAAGAACACCGGUGGCGAAGGCGGUUCUCUGGGCAUUGCCUGACGCUGAGGAGCGAAAGUGUGGGGAGCGAACAGG
rnacentral:rRNA from 1 species